GACGAACGCUGGCGGCGUGCCUAAUACAUGCAAGUAGAACGCUGAAGGAGGAGCUUGCUCUUCUGGAUGAGUUGCGAACGGGUGAGUAACGCGUAGGUAACCUGCCUGGUAGCGGGGGAUAACUAUUGGAAACGAUAGCUAAUACCGCAUAAGAGUAGAUGUUGCAUGACAUUUACUUAAAAGGUGCAAUUGCAUCACUACCAGAUGGACCUGCGUUGUAUUAGCUAGUUGGUGGGGUAACGGCUUACCAAGGCGACGAUACAUAGCCGACCUGAGAGGGUGAUCGGCCACACUGGGACUGGGACCCGGCCCAGGCUCCUACGGGAGGCAGCCGUAGGGAAUCUUCGGCCAUGGACGGAAGUCUGACCGAGCAACGCCGCGUGAGUGAAGAAGGUUUUCGGAUCGUAAAGCUCUGUUGUAAGAGAAGAACGAGUGUGAGAGUGGAAAGUUCACACUGUGACGGUAUCUUACCAGAAAGGGACGGCUAACUACGUG
rnacentral:rRNA from 1 species